AGUGUGUAUGUGUUUGUGGAGAUAAAGGGGGCCAAAUUUCCUAAAUGCAUUAGGCAGCUGGAUAGUAUUUAGAAGCCAUGAGAAAAAAAAGAGUAAGAUUUGUAAUAUAUCCCUAGCUUCAACUGCAUUUCACAAAUACACCUAUGCAU